GAUGAACGCUGGCGGCGUGCCUAAUACAUGCAAGUCGAGCGAACGGACGAGAAGCUUGCUUCUCUGAUGUUAGCGGCGGACGGGUGAGUAACACGUGGAUAACCUACCUAUAAGACUGGGAUAACUUCGGGAAACCGGAGCUAAUACCGGAUAAUAUUUUGAACCGCAUGGUUCAAAAGUGAAAGACGGUCUUGCUGUCACUUAUAGAUGGAUCCGCGCUGCAUUAGCUAGUUGGUAAGGUAACGGCUUACCAAGGCAACGAUGCAUAGCCGACCUGAGAGGGUGAUCGGCCACACUGGAACUGAGACACGGUCCAGACUCCUACGGGAGGCAGCAGUAGGGAAUCUUCCGCAAUGGGCGAAAGCCUGACGGAGCAACGCCGCGUGAGUGAUGAAGGUCUUCGGAUCGUAAAACUCUGUUAUUAGGGAAGAACAUAUGUGUAAGUAACUGUGCACAUCUUGACGGUACCUAAUCAGAAAGCCACGGCUAACUACGUGCCAGCAGCCGCGGUAAUACGUAGGUGGCAAGCGUUAUCCGGAAUUAUUGGGCGUAAAGCGCGCGUAGGCGGUUUUUUAAGUCUGAUGUGAAAGCCCACGGCUCAACCGUGGAGGGUCAUUGGAAACUGGAAAACUUGAGUGCAGAAGAGGAAAGUGGAAUUCCAUGUGUAGCGGUGAAAUGCGCAGAGAUAUGGAGGAACACCAGUGGCGAAGGCGACUUUCUGGUCUGUAACUGACGCUGAUGUGCGAAAGCGUGGGGAUCAAACAGGAUUAGAUACCCUGGUAGUCCACGCCGUAAACGAUGAGUGCUAAGUGUUAGGGGGUUUCCGCCCCUUAGUGCUGCAGCUAACGCAUUAAGCACUCCGCCUGGGGAGUACGACCGCAAGGUUGGAACUCAAAGGAAUUGACGGGGACCCGCACAAGCGGUGGAGCAUGUGGUUUAAUUCGAAGCAACGCGAAGAACCUUACCAAAUCUUGACAUCCUUUGACAACUCUAGAGAUAGAGCUUUCCCCUUCGGGGGACAAAGUGACAGGUGGUGCAUGGUUGUCGUCAGCUCGUGUCGUGAGAUGUUGGGUUAAGUCCCGCAACGAGCGCAACCCUUAAGCUUAGUUGCCAUCAUUAAGUUGGGCACUCUAAGUUGACUGCCGGUGACAAACCGGAGGAAGGUGGGGAUGACGUCAAAUCAUCAUGCCCCUUAUGAUUUGGGCUACACACGUGCUACAAUGGACAAUACAAAGGGCAGCGAAACCGCGAGGUCAAGCAAAUCCCAUAAAGUUGUUCUCAGUUCGGAUUGUAGUCUGCAACUCGACUACAUGAAGCUGGAAUCGCUAGUAAUCGUAGAUCAGCAUGCUACGGUGAAUACGUUCCCGGGUCU
rnacentral:rRNA from 1 species